UGCCUAGUUUGGGUACUUGGUACUUGGCUAAUGAAUUCCAUUGUUUGAUUGUGGCUGGUAGAAACAGGUGCUAGGUGCUGCAUAGUGUGGAGGAUUUGCAGGAUUGACUUUCCCCUCUUGGUGAGUCUUUGGUCCUCCAUAGCAAAAGGAAAGGUGAGAGAGAAAUCUUGGCUACUACCUAGCUGUACCUCGAGCGGGCCUGGAUUCGUUGUCUGGGCUGACGGGCUGCUCGAAACGGGCCCUAAUUUGGGCCUGGAGAAAAGGCCCGAAGUGCACCCAAAAUUUUAUAUUUUCCUUUCCUUGUUUUCUUUCUUUGAGGACUUUGAUCCAUGUAACCUAUUUUAUUAGUUGUUCAUUUUAUUGAACA